AGCCCCUCUGCCCUAUUUUUUUUAUGUAAAAAUGUAUAUUCACUGAGCCAAACUAAAACAUAGGUGACUAUUUCUCUACUUUCCUGUCACAUAUAAAUUGUAUAUUCAGUGAAAGGCUAAUCAAAGACUCAAAAGAAUGCAACUGUUUUUGUCUCUUAUCUACCUAUCACCUGGAACCUCCUCUUGUACCCUGCUUCAAGUUGUCCUGCCUCUCCAGACUGAACGUACAUCUUACACGUAUUGACUGAUGUCUCAUGGCUCCCUAAAAUGCAUAAAAGCAAGCUGUACCCACGCCACCUUGGGCACGUGUCAUUAGGGCCUCCUGAGGCUGCCAUGGCCACAUCCUUAACCUUGGCAAAAAUAAACUUUCUAAAUUGAUUGAGACCUGUCUCAGACACUUUGGGUUCACAGUAGGAUCUGAAGUACAGGUUUUUCCAAAGCUCUUGGCAAAAACGUUUCAUGUUUGUCAAUAUGUAGCAGGUUGGCAGGCUUUCAUAAUUAUAAGAAUGUCAAGCUUGAAUAACGAGAUUCAAAAAAUAAGACUACGUACAGAGCCCAGAGCUUGAGGUUGGCUACCCAAGAGGAUAGAUUCAGGUUGUCCUAAAUAUACACUCCAAUUAGCAGCAGUUACAAAUGGGUCUCUUGAAGGAAUAAAGAAGAGGCAGUUCUGAAAUUGUUUACCAAGAAUUUAUUACAUCUAUCACAUAAGCUCAGUCGGGCACAGUGGCUCGUGCCCGUAAUCCCAGCACUUUGGGAGACCGAGGCGGGCAGAUCAUCUAAGAUCAGGAGUUUGAGACCAGACUGACCGACAUGGCAAAACCCCAUACCUACUAAAAAUACAAAAAUUAGCUGGGUGUGGUGGCACGUGCCUGUAAUCCCAGCUACUCAGGAGGCUGAGGCAGGAGAAUUGCUUGAACCUGGGAGGCUUGUAGUGAGCCAAGAUCAUGCCACUGCACUCUAGCCUGGGCGACAGAGCAAGACUGUCUUAAAAAAAAACCAAAAUAAAAAUAGGGGCCGGGCGCGGUGGCUCAUGACUGCAACCCCAGCACUUUGGGAGGCCGAGGCGGGCAGAUCAUGAAGUCAGGAGUUCAAGACCAGCCUGCUCAACAUGGUGAAACCCCAUCUCUACUAAAAAAUACAAAAAUUAGUUGGGCGCAGUGGUGCACUCCUGUAAUCCCAGCUACUCGGGAGGCUGAGGCAGGGGAAUCGCUUGUACCGGGGGAGCGGAGGUUGCAGUGAGAUCAGGCCACUGCACUCCAGCCUGAGCAACAGAGUGAGACUCCGUCUCAAAGAAAAAAAAAUUAGUUCUUGAUUGGCCGUACAUUGUUCUUUGUAUCACAGAUUCCAAGAGCAUGAAGAUAGUGGGUGAGGCAGCUAGUCAGGAACAAAAUGCCUUUGAACAGUUGCCCCGGAGCAUGGGGUUGUGGGGAAGAGGGAUGACUAAAGUCCCAUGCUCCUAUAUCUGUGAGCUUGAUAAAUGUUGCAUGACUCACAUAGCUCAGACUGCCCCGAGCUUUUUUUUUUUUUUUUCUCUCGGGGUUUCUGCCAAGAUGCUGACCCUUAUAUUUCAUGUCUAUCAGAGAGGAGGAGCUGAUGGGUGCUGAGUCCCAAGAGAAGCACCCUGUUUGCAGAGGGCUAUGGAUACCUCUCACCAGAUGGGGCAGGAGGAACGACGGGAACAACUUAAUAUCAGUAGAAUUGUAAACUCCUUAGCUGGAAGCUACCUUAAGGAAGUGUUUCACAGACUGUAGGUUGAGACCCAUGAGUGAAUUGUAAAAUUUAAUGUAUCACAACUAGCAUUAAAAGAAAAAGAAAACAAUAAACUUGAGUCUGAAUCGCAUAUAGCGG
rnacentral:lncRNA from 10 species